CCUGUCACCCCCUGAAGGCAAUCAUUCUACACACUGUCAUAAAACAUAGCUUCGCCAUGAACUUAAUGCCAAAGGCCACAGGCAGUAACACAAACAUACACAUGCUCUGAUAAACAUGCAUACAUAUACAAAGAUACUCACUGCCAGACACACACUCUCAGGCACACACAGGUAGACAAUGCAACAACGUAUACAAAGACUAGUUCUCUAUAUCCAGUACUGCAAGCCCGCCCUUCAAUAUAUCUACAGCUUCUUAUACACACACAAGUCAAC